GAUUAACGCUGGCGGCGUGCAUAACACAUUCAAGUCGAACGGAAAGAGGUGCUUCGGUACUUCUUUUAGUGGCGGACGGGUGAGUAACGCGUGAGCAAUCUACCUCCAGGUAAGGGAUAACAACCGGAAACAGUUGCUAAUACCUUAUGAGAUAGUAAUCUCGCAUGGGAUAGCUAUCAAAGGCUUGCUGCCUGGAGAUGAGCUUGCGUCCGAUUAGCUAGUUGGUGGGGUAACGGCUCACCAAGGCGACGACCGGUAGCCGGACUGAGAGGUUGAUCGGCCACAUUGGGACUGAGACACGGCCCAG
rnacentral:rRNA from 1 species